rnacentral:rRNA from 1 species
AUGACUAGAGACAACCUGAGGAAAAGACACAUUAUCAAACUGUCGGAAUGUGUUUUCUGUGCUGAGCAGGAGACAAACCACCAUUUAUAUUCUGACUACAUAGUAGCCAGCAAUAUUUGGUCGUUUGUCAACCUCUUCUUCUAAAAUAAUUUGGGUAUAAACUUUGAAUCUGUGGCCCACUUUUGGAUUUCUAAUAAAAAGAAUUUGACUUUGAAUGUAGUUAGCUCUAUUGUCCUUUGGUGUUUAUGGAAAUAUAGGAACUCUAUGAUUUUUAAUAACAUCAUCUGGACAUCUAUUAUUCAGGUGUGGAGACUGAUUCAUAGAGUGCUCAAAUUCUGGGUGACUCUAACCCUAGAAACAAGCAAAAACUAGGUGGAGGCAUUUUUAGUGCGCUGGCGAAACUACUCCAACAACCCUUAA